CAGUAACUGAUAUAAUACGUUAAGUCAUUCAAACCACUGAUGCAAUGCAAUUGUUAGUAUUGCAGUACUACUAGUAAAACUAUUUAAAAUUUUAGGAUUUAUUUAUUGAUAAAUACUGAUUAUAAAUUAAAAACGGUACUUCUUUGUAUUGGUAGAAACUGCUAAUUAGGUGUUACCUGGAAUAUCGUGUGCAGUUCUUGUCUUAAGAGGAUAUUUACUUACCCGUUACCGGAGAGAGUUCAGAAGAGGACUCCUAAGAUGAUUCCAGGAAGGAAGCGUCAUGUUAUGAAAUAGUUACUUUAAAUGGACCUUGAAGAUGGAACUGUAGAUAUAAUGAUUCUGAUGACAAUGUAUAGACACAACUGUACCUUUCUCAAGAUUCAUGUAAAAAACAUGGUUGGAUUAUUUAAAGAUAACUUGGUGUAUAUGAACAUUUUGUGAUAUGCAUAUGAAGAUAUAUCUGUUUUGAAAACAUUGACUCUUUCACUUGUCUUGAAUAUUUAUGUAUGAAUAAUAUUAUUUUGCAAAUGAAAUGCUGUUUCAAACUAAUUUUCAGUAUAGAUUAUUAUCAAGAGUGUGGACUUGUGAAUAUGCAAAAAAAUGUAAUCAGCCUUUGUAUACAUUAACUAAAUGCAAAAAUAUGCAUCGAUAUUCAACUUGGUCAAAACACAUGAUUAAUUCAUCUGAACAAAAAAUGUAUUUUCUAAAACAAUAUGGAAAUAUUGUUAGUUACAGUUCUUGUUCAUUUAAUGUACUAGGUAAAGUAACCAAUAGUUUGGGGGAGCCUACUGAAGUUCUACAAUAUAAUUUUAAUGGUUAUCAAAAUGAUGCAAAUAAAGCUCUCAACAUCAAAAUGGAAUCAUCAAGGAAUUCUAAACUAGGUAAACAGUUUAGAAACUGUAAGUCUGUUGAUCAAGUGUUAGUUUUGUUUUCAAGUACAAAAGAGAAACUUAUAGUUGAAGAUUUUGUUGCUUGUUUGGAAACAUUAGGCCAUCUUUAUUUAAAACAGCUUAAAAUGUAUUCGUGGGCUUACUAUAAUAAUGAUAAACUUCUCUGGAUUCAGUCAGAUAUAAAUUAUGAAGCCAAAGAAAUGUUUGCAUCUAUUCUUUGUUGCCCAGAAUUUAAUGAAUUAUGUAGACUUCUGGAAGAUUUAAUUCACACGUUGUCUGAUUCUGAUUUAACUUCAGUAACACGUUCAUUAUUUUUUUUGCAUCCUUCUCAUGGAAAUCGGACUGUCAUGUGUCUUGUUAACGAGUGUCUGCUACGAUCAAGUAAUUUUGAUUUAGAAAACCUUGUGAGAUUUGCCGAGAUUGGAACCUUUCUUCGUCGUAAUGGUUUUCCAGUUUAUAGUAAAGUUUGCAAUAGGUUGACCCAAAUUUUGGAGGAAACACCCAUAAGUUCCAUAAACUUGGAGCACCUUGCAAUUGUAGUAAACAGUAUUGGUUAUUUCUGUUCAGAGAAAUUGUUAAAAUGCAUUUCUGGAAUAGUAGUGACCUCAGCUUUAAAAUCUAACUCUAACCUUAAUCCUUCAACCAUUCUUCUUUUCUUGGAAGUAAUUACUAGAUUUGUUUCUGUACCUGAUCAAAAUUUUCUGAAAGUUACUUGUGAUAUACUUUCAGACAAUAGUGAAAACUUGUAUACAUGGCAGUUAGGGACAGUUUUAAGAUUCCUAAGAGUUGCAAGAUUCCAAGAUGAUAAUUUAUUAAGAGUAAUAAGGAAAACUGGAUUAGAAAGACUUAAGCAAGGAUUAUUAAGAUCAAGCGAUUUAGUAAGUCUUUUAAAUCUUUUUGACCUAUGUGGAUGGAAUGAAGAACUUAGGACAGAAAUUGAAGAGUUACUUAUGCUACAUGUUCAGGAUUUUGAUGUUAUUCUUCUAAAGCAUUGUGCACAGAGCCAGUUCAUGAUACACUGUGAGAAUCAGCAGGUUUUGGACAAAUUUAGUGAUAGAGUCUUAACAAAACUUCCAGAUCUUCUGAAUGCAAUUUCUUGCCUACUGAAUGUUCUAAGUUUUUAUUCAAAAGCUCGUUACCAGAAUCCAGUCUUUCAUUCAGAGCUAUCUCAGUUUUUAUUGAAACAGAUACAGUCAAACCAAAUAACUUACCAGCCAAGUCAUCUAGCUGUUUUCUUUAAGUAUAUGCUAGCUUGCUUGAGCCAAAAGAGAGAACUUCCAACUGUAUUAAUGAGUGCUGUCUCCAAUAUGCUAUCACAGUUUGCCUUCACUGAUGUAAUUUCAAUAGCUAGGACAUUGAACUUCAAGACUGUGGUUGUGCCUUCCAACAGAUAUAGACAGAAUUUAUAUAUAUACAAGUCCCUUCAACAGUGUGUGCUUCAACAAUUGUCAGAAGUCCCAAACAUAAAUAUCUUAUGCAUGUUGAUAAAAGUUCUCUUUGUAAAAUCAAAUUUUGGCUACAGAUUUGAAUAUGCUGAAAUCACAAGAGCUUUUGAGGGUCUUAUAUCUACAGUAGAUGAUAAUAGUUUCAAUUCAGUACUUUUAAUACUUACAAGGCUGAAACUUUUUAUUCCAGAUGUAUUGGAACAUCUUGCUCAGUUUUGUCUGAAAAACCAGAGUUUAGAAAUGAUUUCUUUUAUGCUUCAAACAUGUGCCUUCUUUAACUUCAAUUCAGAGAAGAGUUGUUUGCUUGCUGAAGAAUGUCUAAAGAUGUUGGAAAUUAGUAGCACUUUAAAUUUAGUUGAAGUAUUAGGUAUUGUAUAUAGCCUUGCAGUGUUAGAGAUCUUUCCAAAAGAAAUUAUCAAGAAAAUAUUUUCUAUGGAUUUCCUGAGAAGGCUAGAUAACUUCUGUGAAAAUCACCCACGCUUGAAAUAUAGACUACAUGAACAGCUGGAAAUCUUGAAUCGUAUUGUAGCAUUAGAGUGUCCUGAAUUAGACAUUCCUUGGUUUCAUGAACACUUCUGUCAGGAAUUGAGCAUCAUUAAAGGUCCUAAGAUUACAACAGAGAGGAGAGAUAAUGUGUUAAAAGUUCUUCCAGAUGUCCUUGGAGGCCAAGAAUUUUAUAGAACCAAUCAAACAACACCAUAUUUUUAUGACAUAGAGUGGCUCUUGUAAUUCUUGAACCUCAUCACUACUGUGCCAAUGUUAACUGGAAGCUGGGGAAAACAGGUGUCAUGUUAAGACAUUUGGAAAUGCUGGGCUAUACAGUUGUGGAACUCCCUUAUAUGGAAUUGGAUUCUAUUAGUC
rnacentral:misc_RNA from 1 species